ensembl:lncRNA novel transcript
GGGCCUCAGCUGGAAGACCGGAAGACUGGAGGGCUGACGUUACCUGCAGGCUUCAUGGAGGCUGGAGGCUUGGUUUCCCAGAUGGCUCACUCACACGGCAGACUUUGUGCUCCAUCAGUUGAAGAGUAGGAUGAAGAAAAAAAAAAAAGGUUACAUGAAGAUGAUGGAAUUAUAAUCAGGCCUUGAAGAACGGAGACAAUUCCAGCCAUUGUUGUAGAUGUGGAGGCUGAAGGACAUUCCAAUUUGAAGGAACAGAAGAUGGGAUCUCACUCUGCUGCCCAGGCUGGUCUCCUCCUGCCUUGGCCUCCCAAAGUGUUGGAAUUACAAGUGUGAGCCACUGUGCCUGGCCCUGAAUAAGUUUCUUGACCCAGAGUUCCUGAAGAGGAGGAUGGGAACCUUGGAGGCUGUUUCUCCAGGCUGUGAUGGAGUCUUGUUGUGUUGCCCAGCCUGGCGUCUAACCCCUGGCCUCAAGCGAUCUUCCUGCCUUGGCCCCCCAAAGUGCUGGAAGUAUAGGCAUGAGUCACCACGCCCAGCCAAAUUUGUGUCUUAUUUUUAAUAAAUUUGGACGUGGUCGUAAUUUAAAGAGUUAAAUACUUCCAAAGACAUGUUAGAAAAAAGAGAAGAUCCUUUUCAACUCUCCUCCAUUUUCAGCUCCUCAGAAGUAAGCAUUUUUUCAGUUCUUAUAGCUGAUCUUUUGUUAUUUGGUUUAUAUUUAUAUGUCUAAAUAAUACAGUUAUGUCUU